CAAGAGUCCCACAGCCUCCACCAAAGAGUGCCCAGCCUAAUGGUGGCCAUCUUUUAGAGGAGGAAAUAAAUGUUCAGAGAAGUCAAGUUCCUUGUGCAAGCGGGAUUCGAUACAGGGGACACAACCAAGAGACCUCUGAGUCCCUCCACACAUCCAUGCUGUGUGUUGACUUGCUUACAAGAGUCCCCUGUGUCAGAGGCUGCCUGGCAGUGGGGACAUGAGCCUUUCCCUUAGAGGGAAACAUGAGAUUGGGCAACAAGGGUAGUCCUCAAGGUUCUACCUCGAGACUCCAGGACGCUGGACAUUGGAAAUGAGGCCACACCCUGGAGGAGCAUUGUCGGCUAAAGCCAAACACCAUUAGCGUCUGAAGGGGAUGUGGGACCCAUCUAAGGUAUCACAUCCCUGAUCACCCACCAUGGGGUCUGCAGCUGGAGAGGGUCCCCCCAGGAGGGGCUGGAGCGGGGAGUUCUCUGCCCUGGGAGGCAGGUCUCCUGGCCCUUCACUGGAGUGAUCUCUUCUUUUCUGAUGUCAAAUCCUGAUCUAAAGGGAGGCAUCUUCCUUCUUAUGGCAUGGCCAUGUCUCCUGUGUUCCUUCCUCAAGCCAAAUCCUUUUCCACGAUGCCUUCCCCUCUGAGCCCUGUAUAACCCAAUAGUGCAAAUAUUCCCACAUCCCCUACCCACAACAGGGGUGAGCACAUUGCAAAUGUUCCGCCGGCGAAUCAGCACCUGCCUGGAGGUGUUCUUGGUGUCUGCGUCCUGCCUCCAGUACAGAGGACCUCAAAUCCAUGAUACUUCACCUGGUGCUCCCCAGGAAAGCCUGGCAGAGGACCUGACGAUUCCCAGCAAGACCAAGCACUGCUGUCCAGGGUCAGCCACGGUCACUUCUCUGCAGCUGUCAUCCGGGCACAAUCUCCAAAUAUUUCUAGCCAUUCAGACGUUCACUAUAAUCAGAAUUAACGCAUGUAGAACCAAAGAGCCAGACACAUGGGUUCAAACCUGCCCCACCAUUUACAGUGAGAGCUUAGUGAGUCACUUAACCUGUGCCUCAGUUUUCUCACCUGUAAAAAGAACAUAACAGUAACAAUACCAUUGAGCUGCUAUGCAGUGGAUGAGCUUCUAUAUGAAAGGUGAGUGAAAAGUGUCUGGAUGUGGUGGUGUCAACCUUUCCCUGGGGUGGUGGUGGCUGAUCUGUGGCACCCCACAUGACAAUGUCUUUGCCAUGGCAGUAGAUGCUGUUAAAUCAGGCCCUGGGUUUGUCUUGGCUUGACUUGUUUCCAUUUUCAAUUGAAAAUUAAAUGUGGAUAGACUUCAGCCUGACUCGGUCUGCUCCCUGGACCUUGGCCAGUGAGUUCUGAGUAACUGCAGACAGGGUGUGGUCACCGGGAUUUGGUUAUUGGAUUUUUUUCCCCCUGUGGUUUUGGGCAGGUUGCUCCAUGACGGGCAGCUGUAUCGUCUUAGAACCGGACUUUCCGGGAGAGCCUUUGGGUCACUCUGGGCGUCAGCUGGAAAGGGCUGCUCUUGGAGCAAGCUCACUGGCCCACAGGAGGAGCUGCCUUCUUGAACUGUCACCCUGAAGCCAACCAAAGUCUGGGCAACGCCAGCUCCAGUGACUGCCGCUCCAUCUCCUAGGCAAUUUGCAUCGCUGUUUCUGUUUGUUAGGCCUUGACCAUUCCUUUGUUGUCAUCCUGCGCUUCCCUGGCCAUAGGCCUUUUCCCAGCCCCACCACGGCAUGCCCACCUGUGCUUGGGGAGGGGCGGAGGAAGGAGCCCCAGCCAGCCAUGUCCCUGUUUCGUGCUCCAGUGACCACUGCUAUGAGGACUUUCCCACUGGCUCAGGCUCAGUUAGUCGAGCUGGUGUGCCCCGCUCUUAGCUGUUCCCCAACUCUCCUAGAGUGUGCUAAUUCUGACCCAGCUCUCCCAGGUGGAGGAUGCUUUUCAAACAUGUCCUUGGGAACCUCUGCAGACCCAUUCCCAGCCCAUUCUCCAUGAUUCCAGGCCUGGCCAGGUUGAAAACUUCUGUAAAUUAAAACUCAAAUAAAGAGAGUAUAGCUUGGGCAUACCUUUUGCACAUGCAUAUAUAUGUAUGUGUGUGCAUGUGUGUGUGUGCAUGUAUGUGUGUGCAUGUAUGUGUGUGCAUGUGUUGGGAUUUUUUAUUUUUUAAAUUUAUAUUUAUUAAAAAAAUUUUUUUUGAAACAAGGUCUUCUUCUGUCUCCCAGGCUGGGCUGCAGUGGUGUGAUUAUGGCUGACUGCAGCCUCAAACUCCUGGGAUCAAGCAACCCUCCCACCUCAGCCUCCCAGAGCACUGGGAUUACAGGUUUGAGCCACUGCACCUGGCCUAUUUAAAAAGUUUGUCUAGAGCAAAAAGUCCCUAGACCUGCCAGUCCAGGGCACUAAAUCACAAGAACACCAAGGCCAAACAGGCUUGAAGUCUCCAGGCUCC
rnacentral:lncRNA from 10 species